rnacentral:lncRNA from 1 species
AGCUCGGAAUCGAUCUCCAAAGAAGCCCUCAGAAGCAACUCCAGAAAAGAGAAACCCAGAAAUUCCAGACCGACCUGGAGAGAGAAAAGUGAGAUUUUCACACACCUGCGGCUAAAAUUAGCCAAAACCUUCAACUAGAGAGUGAAACUUCAUUCAAAGAUAUUUCCAACCAUAGGUCACAUGUCCCAAAUGGAGAUCGGGAAGGCCUCCUAAAGCCCCCCAAAACAGUGCCUUUCUGGCGGGCCAAGAAAGUCCGAAACUGUUCUUUUUUUUUUGCAGAUCUCAUUUCCAGUUGAAGAAGCCAACUUCCACAGGCCCCCCGAGGAUAAUUUAUUGGUUUCAUCGGCCAAUAACCACUUGAAAAGGAAACUAGGAAGCAAUGUAAGUAUUCUAGAUGUACUUAUUUUCGAGUUUGAGCAUGUUUUGAUCAUGAAAAUCAAG